GACGAACGCUGGCGGCGUGCUUAACACAUGCAAGUCGAACGAAGUGGCGAACGGGUGAGUAACGCGUAAUAAACCUGCCCUUCAGAGGGGGAAAACAGUUGGAAACGUAUCUUAAACCCGCAUACUGAAGAGGGGGAUUGCGUCGGAUUAGCUAGUUGGGGGGGUAACGGCCCACCAAGGCGAUGAUAAGUCACCGGUCUGAGAGGAUGAACGGCCACAUUGGGACUGAGACACGGCCCAGACUCCUAAGGGAGGCAGCAGUGGGGAAUCUUCCGAAAUGGACGAAAGUCUGACGGAGCAACGCCGCGUGAGUGAUGACGGCCUUCGGGUUGUAAAGCUCUGUUAAUCGGGACGCGGUACCGGAAUAGAAAGCCACGGCUAACUACGUGCCAGCAGCCGCGGUAAUAC
rnacentral:rRNA from 1 species